rnacentral:rRNA from 1 species
AUGCGAAAAUGUUUGCUCAAGUUCAUUAUUAAAUCAUAUGCGUUGGACAGAAAAAGGUUCAUCAUGCCAUCAAAAAAUGGUGCGAUAUCAUUGCGCACCGAAGAUGUGUUUGACAUUUUCGGGCUACAGAACAAGGGCAAAGAUGCCAUGAAAGCGCGAGGAAAAGGGGGGUUAAAGGCGAAGGUGAAGGUGCCUAGUCGCUUUCUAGAUUCCAAUACGGGGGAAAUGAUGAUAGACGAGCUGAUUGAGAACAUCGUUGCCAGUGGCACGUACGAUGAUGAUUUUCUCCGUAGAAUUGUUCUGGUUCUUCUAGGCACGGUUCUUGCACCGCAGUCCACGAAAGAAGUUCCUAAUGCUUAUUACAAGUUAGUGCACGAUGUGGAGGCCAUCAAAGCAUUUAACUGGAACGCGUUUACUUUAUGCGUUUGCGUUGAAGGCUUCACAAAGACCUUAUCAGAUCUUACAAAAUUUACUUGGCCGAUCGGAAACCUUGCCCUCCUACAGUACUUGUUUUGGGAGAAAGUGCAGCCACUGGAUGAUGAGGCAUUUGAUCCAUUGGCUCAUGAAUAUCCGUUGAUGCUUAAUUGGUCAGAAGAUGAGGCUAAGAAGCGUGACGCGUACGACACGUCAUACGGCCGUGGUAAUGGGACGAUAGUAGUGGAAAAGCUGGAGAAGAAAGGUCUUGUAUUCAAGCCAAACAAGGGGUCUGAUGAUGACAUUGAGUUUGUGGAGCAUAGUGAAGACUGGGUGGGGAAGUAUGGUCCAUCAAAAUACAAAUCAUCAAAAUAUUGGACAGAUGUAAAAUCAACUCCUGCAAAAGAUGAUAUGGACAACAGGGUGGACGCAUCCUUCACCACUGGGAACGGGAAUAAAUUGGCGCGUGAGAAAGGUGUGCAUCACAACACACCUGGUACAGGAGAUGAAGGCGACCCCUUCGUUAUUGAGGACACUGGUAAUUCACCCAACCCAUCUCUUGCGACGGUAGACACGAAUGACUUUCCGGCUAUUACUUCAACCCCCAAGAAUAUGAAUGAAGUGUCAGACGGGUCUAGCGCCGAUAAAUCUAAGGAGAUUAGUAUGGAUAGUCUGAACACCCGUAUUAAAAAUGCGAAAGAAAAUGGCACUCCAGAGAAUGAUGGGAAGGAGAAUGAUGGGAAGCACAAGAGGAAACAGUCAAAAUAUUGUCUUUCACCUUACCAGCAGAACGGUGGACGUAAACGUGCAAAGAAAAGUCUGUUUGGUAUAAGAGCUGCUAUGAUUAAUACUGAUUACAUUAAUGAGGAUCACAUAGAGGCCGCGAAGGUUUAUAUCCGGACACUGGCAGACUCGGAGAAGCUUUGCAGCAAAACUGUCGUGCACAUGACGGGAAUUGGUGGGGAAACAUGUACACCUGAAAUGCUUGAAGCCAUCAUUUCGAAAAAGUGGUUGCAUGGCGGUGUCAUCAAUAGUUAUUGCAACCAUAUGCAGACCCAUAAUCCUCGUGCUGACCGUCACAUAUUAUCAUCUUGGGUGUCCCACUGGCUUAUUCUUCGUGCUGAUGGAAAGGUUAACAACUCUAAGAGGCAUUUUAUGGAUCACUUCGCAAACCAAACUAAAAUGGUGUCUAGAGUUACUGAAGAGUAUUUCAUCAAAGAUAAGGCAUACUUUCCUUUUCAUGUGGAAGAAAAUCAUUGGAUAACAGUUCUUAAGCACAACAAGAAAAAAGAGUUUCAAGUUUUAAACUCUACUGGUAAAUGCAGCAAAAGAGUUCUUGCAAAGAUUGCUAAGCUGAGGGCAGAAAUAGCAAAUGAUACAAAGGAGGUGAAUGCUCUUAUUGAAACGGAACAUCCUGACGUAUCAUCCUGGCCAAUAAGGGAGUACGGUAUGCCGUCACAAACAGACGGAGUCUCUCGUGGUCUUUUCGUGGUGAAAUGCGUUCAAAACUGGGAUGGAGAUGAUUGGACAUUUGAGUUUGAUCAAGAUGAGGUUAAUGCUUCAAGGGGACACAUUCUAGCUGAAAUACUUUUUUCAGAGUGCAACACGAAGGAAGUAGUGAAAGAGAAGAUCCUCAAGAUCAUGGAGAAUAAAUGA